AUUGGACGCUGGCGGCAUGCCUUACACAUGCAAGUCGAACGGUAACAGGUCUUCGGAUGCUGACGAGUGGCGAACGGGUGAGUAAUACAUCGGAACGUGCCCGAUCGUGGGGGAUAACGAAGCGAAAGCUUUGCUAAUACCGCAUAAGAUCUACGGAUGAAAGCAGGGGACCGCAAGGCCUUGCGCGAACGGAGCGGCCGAUGGCAGAUUAGGUAGUUGGUGGGAUAAAAGCGUACCAAGCCGACGAUCUGUAGCUGGUCUGAGAGGACGACCAGCCACACUGGGACUGAGACACGGCCCAGACUCCUACGGGAGGCAGCAGUGGGGAAUUUUGGACAAUGGGCGAAAGCCUGAUCCAGCCAUGCCGCGUGCAGGAUGAAGGCCUUCGGGUUGUAAACUGCUUUUGUACGGAACGAAAAGACUCUUUCUAAUAAAGAGGGUCCAUGACGGUACCGUAAGAAUAAGCACCGGCUAACUACGUGCCAGCCGCCGCGGUAAGAC
rnacentral:rRNA from 1 species